rnacentral:rRNA from 1 species
AGUGAACGCUGGCGGUAGGCCUAACACAUGCAAGUCGAACGGCAGCACAGUAAGAGCUUGCUCUUACGGGUGGCGAGUGGCGGACGGGUGAGGAAUACAUCGGAAUCUACUUUUUCGUGGGGGAUAACGUAGGGAAACUUACGCUAAUACCGCAUACGACCUACGGGUGAAAGCAGGGGAUCUUCGGACCUUGCGCGAUUGAAUGAGCCGAUGUCGGAUUAGCUAGUUGGCGGGGUAAAGGCCCACCAAGGCGACGAUCCGUAGCUGGUCUGAGAGGAUGAUCAGCCACACUGGAACUGAGACACGGUCCAGACUCCUACGGGAGGCAGCAGUGGGGAAUAUUGGACAAUGGGCGCAAGCCUGAUCCAGCCAUACCGCGUGGGUGAAGAAGGCCUUCGGGUUGUAAAGCCCUUUUGUUGGGAAAGAAAAGCAGCAGGUUAAAGCACCGCUGUUCUGACGGUACCCAAAGAAUAAGCACCGGCUAACUUCGUG